UACAAAGGAAUUGACGGGGACCCGCACAAGCGGUGGAUGAUGUGGAUUAAUUCGAUGCAACGCGAAGAACCUUACCUACCCUUGACAUGUCCGGAACUUGCCAGAGAUGGCUUGGUGCCCGAAAGGGAAUCGGAACACAGGUGCUGCAUGGCUGUCGUCAGCUCGUGUCGUGAGAUGUUGGGUUAAGUCCCGCAACGAGCGCAACCCUUAUCAUUAGUUGCUACGCAAGGGCACUCUAAUGAGACUGCCGGUGACAAACCGGAGGAAGGUGGGGAUGACGUCAAGUCCUCAUGGCCCUUAUAGGUAGGGCUACACACGUCAUACAAUGGAUGGUACAAAGGGUCGCCAACCCGCGAGGGGGAGCCAAUCCCAUAAAACCAUUCGUAGUCCGGAUCGCAGUCUGCAACUCGACUGCGUGAAGUCGGAAUCGCUAGUAAUCGCAGGUCAGCAUACUGCGGUGAAUACGUUCCCGGGUCUU
rnacentral:rRNA from 1 species